AACUUUUUACAAUGGAUCACUUGGUUCUGGCAUCGGUUAAGAACGCAGCGAAAUGCGAUAAGUAAUGUGAAUUGCAGAAUUCAGUGAAUCAUCGAAUCUUUGAACGCACAUUGCGCCCCUUGGUAUUCCGAGGGGCAUGCCUGUUCGAGCGUCAUUAUAACCCCUCAAGCUCGGCUUGGUGUUGGGGCCUGCCGCACGGGCAGCCCUUAAAAUCAGUGGCGGUGCCGUCUGGCUCUAAGCGUAGUAAUUCUUCUCGCUAUAGAGUCCCGGUGGAUGCUUGCCAUUAACCCCCAAUUUCAAUGGUUGACCUCGGAUCAGGUAGGGAUACCCGCUGAACUUAAGCAUAUCAAUAAGCGGAGGCU
rnacentral:misc_RNA from 1 species